AAAAUAUUACUCUACCCGUCCCAAGAUUCUUGUCUUAGAUUUGUUUAGAUACGGAUGUAUCUAGUCACGUUUUAGUGUUAGAUACAUCCGUAUCUAGACAAAUCUAAGACAAGAAUUUUGGGACGGAGGUAAUAUCAU
rfam:Triticum aestivum genome assembly, contig: Triticum_aestivum_CS42_TGACv1_scaffold_159955_2DL